CGUCCCGCCGGCGACCGGCGCACGGGUGAGUAACACGUAUGCAACCUGGCCGCCACAGGGGGAUAACCCGCGGAAACGCGGCCUAAUACCCCGUGACGCCACCGGAGGGCAUCCUCCGGUGGCCAAAGGAGCGAUCCGGUGGCGGAUGGGCAUGCGGCGCAUUAGCUAGACGGCGGGGUGACGGCCCACCGUGGCGACGAUGCGUAGGGGUUCUGAGAGGAAGGUCCCCCACACUGGUACUGAGACACGGACCAGACUCCUACGGAAGGCAGCAG
rnacentral:rRNA from 1 species